rnacentral:rRNA from 1 species
AUACGGAGGGUGCAAGCGUUACUCGGAAUCACUGGGCGUAAAGCGCGCGCAGGCGGUCUUUUAAGUUGGAUGUGAAAGCCUACGGCUCAACCGUAGAACUGCAUCCAAAACUAUUUAGCUAGAGUGUGGGAGAGGAAGAUGGAAUUAGUUGUGUAGGGGUAAAAUCCGUAGAGAUAACUAGGAAUACCAAAAGCGAAGGCAAUCUUCUGGAACACUACUGACGCUGAGGCGCGAAAGCGUGGGGAGCAAACAGGAUUAGAUACCCUAGUAGUCC